GCUGCCGGCGGCCAAGACCGCCCGGUGGCACGGGAAGAGCGCCCCGCACGCGCUCUGCAGCGUCACGUCUGUGAAGGAGCCGUCCAGGUAACCUCACUUGCAGAACGAAGGAAGAAUCGCAAGUGUAAGCUGGAUCAGACUGAUCACCUGAACCACCCUCUCCGUGAACACGAAUCUCUUAGUUCACGCUGAAGCUGCAGAGCGCCCGAAAGGGACUGAAGGAAGGGGACUUAGUUCUAUCAGUGUUGAGGCCAACCCAUUAAAUCGUACUACUGAGGAAUGAAACCAUAUUUAGGUGUUUAGCUUCUUGGAAUUCUAGGAUUGUAAGUAUAUUAUGAAAAAUAAUAGUAUUGAUUCAAAUUUAAACUUUUAGUUGUAAUUGUAAUUGUUUUAAAGAAGUGCAUCUGGAGCAUUGUUUCUGAUAUAUGUAGUUAUUGCAUUCUUAAUGUUUGUGGUAUUUCUUAAAGCUAAGCAGUGUUAUAUGCGUAGCAAAGAAUUUUAAAAUAAAAUUGUGUUGUAUGAA